UAAAAUAAGAUCUUUGAUCCGCUCCGUUAUUGUUAUGUCGUUUCAAUAAGAUCUUUGAUCCGCUCCGUUAUUGUUAUGGAGAGGAUCAAAGAUCUUAUUUAUAACAAUAACGGAGCGGAUCAAAGAUCUUAUUUUAAUGAGAUUGUGCUUUACAAGGGCAAGAAGAGGAAUGCAACAAUAAAAUAGAAUUAAAUGACAUUAUGACAAUUAACUUAUACAUGUAUCUGUAAAUUAAAUUAUCAAAAUAAAACACUAAUGGCUAAAAGUUGGUUGGUUUUUGAUACUAGCUUUAAAAUAGAUGGAACCAAAAAUGGUCAUAGUAAUUACAUGUCUUUAUGAUUUAAAAGAAUCCUUCUUUAAUUUUGUUGACACUAGAAUAUUAUAAAUGAUGGAUGCAUUGUCAAGAAAAACAGAAAGAUGUACAAAAAUUGUGACACUUGCAACUCCAGGGUUCUGAUUCAAAGUCAGAUCCAAAUAGUGUUAAAAGUGUAUAUCAAGUUUAUAAUUGUAAAAUGUUUCAUCAGUAUAGACGCUUUUGGGGGAAUGAAUUACACCUUAUACAUGUAUUAUACUUCUACUGAAUAUUAGAAUUUAGCAUAUAAAUGCAUGCCUAGAGCAAGAAAAGUUACUGUAUUAUAUAGAUUUCAUUCAUAUUGAGGUUAGUAAUACUUUUAACUAAAUAACUCAGGUAUUUAGUUAAGGUCAGUGUCUUGUUGAUAUUUUUGAUGUGUGUAUGCAUGUACGUGUAUGUGUGCGUGUGUGUGUGAAAUACAAAAAAAUCCAUAAAGAUUUGUUUCAGAGUUUUGAGUAGUGAUCAGUUUUAGCAAUCAUCAACAGCUAGGGUAUGAAUCUGUACACUCAUCUUUGUUAAUUUCUAAAAAGACUUAAAUUGCAUUUCAAAAGUAGUCAAGUGUUAUGUGAAGGAGAUUUGAGGAACAUAUGUUCCUGCUAAAUGUGUGUGAUCAUACAUUUGGGGUGUCAAUGGAUGGAAAAUCAUCUGAAGAUUGAAGUUUUGAAGAAAUUGAAAUACUUUAUUGAAUAUUAAUCAAUCUUAUUUUCAUUCUAAAAUCAUGUACUCAAAGGAAUUUUCUUUCAAUUACAUAUGUAAGUGCAUUAAAUUGAAUUAUUUUUCUAUUUCUUACUUACAUUUAAAACAGUUAUGUUUGUCAUUUUGUUUCUCAAAGUAGAAAAUAUUUUCAUGUAGAUUUUUCUUCCAAGAUUAUUAUUCCAUAGAUUUCAAUUUAGAACAUUCAAGUAAAAGAAAAUAAGACUCUAAAAAAGGAGGUCUCCAUGUGAAUUGAGAGAAAGAAACGGAAAUUAUAAAUUCUGUGGUGACAUUAAAUUUCAUUUCAUAAUUUUGCCAGCUAUAAUAAGGUAUGAUAUGAGAUUCAGGGUGGUACAUUUAUGUGCAUACAUGUACCUUGUAUCUCCAAUUGAAAAUUGAUUGCUUUAAAUCAAUUUCAACAUUAUGAAUAUCCUACAAAAGUAAAACAUAAUGAUUUUAAAGUUUAAAAAACACAUUGUUUCACUCCUGAAACCUUGACCUCACAUGGAUAUAUAUUGGUAUUUAGUGUUGGUAGGUUUUGGUUCUUUUUGGGUGGAUUUUGGAUAAUGUAGUGAAUUUCAGUUAGUUGUAGCACAGUAACAUGGAGUGAGCUUGCUUGCUUCCUGAUAUCUAGUCAAUCACUUUUUAAGACAUACAUAUUUUUCAAACUUGCAUUGCACAUAUUUGUUUACAUUUUUGGUAGGAGUGUUUUAUAUGCUCACUAUAUAUGUCAUCUUCAUAUAUAGAUGUGUAAUUGUUUGCAAAAAGAAGAGACAUCUAAAUUCCUAAUAAAAAUGAUAAUUACAUUUAAAUCAUAAUUGUGCACUUCAUGUACUUUUUACAUGCAAAAUAAUUUCAUAUAAUUAUAUGGUUUUUGUAUUUUCUGUCCAUAUCUGUAAGUCUGUCUGUCACAAAGUCUUAAAUUGUGCAUUAAAAUGCUUCUCCUCCUGUAUGGAUUAUCUGAUAAACUUGAAACUUUGUACAAUGCUUCAUUGCCAUUUGCAGAUGUGCACAUUGUUGGGAGAGGAUUUAUUGUUAUCCUAAAAGUUAUAGUGGUUCGAUCCAAGAGAGAUGCGGGUGUAAAAUAGCUUGUGACCAUUUCUCCUAGUUGCAAACCUAUUGCAGAGUCUUGAAUUUUUUUUUUUUUUUUUUUUUUAUACUAUACUUUAUUAUCAUUUAAUGAUGUCUAGAUUUCUCUGACCCAGGAAUCUAAUAUUUUCCUAAAAUCUACAGUGGAUCAAAAACAUGUAUUUUAAGUGUUGUUUUUUUUUUUUACCCUUUAUUGAAUAAUCUUUGUAAAAUUGCAUGUGCAAAAGUAAAGAUGCUUUGAAAAUUCAAUUACAAAAUUAAACAUUUCACUGGUUUGUUAAGGUACUCACUACACUAAAGCUUUAUGACACUAUGUUACAAGAUGGCGAUUUAAAUGUUUUGGGAAAGUAUUUGUAUUGAUCGAUUUAUUCGUCUAUAACACCAUAGCUAAGUGGUUAAUUAAUAAAGCAUUGGGCAAGAGAGAGAGAGAGAGAGAGAGAGAGAGAGAGAGAGAGAGCAUUGGGCUGGUGAACUACAGAUCUUGAGCUCAAAUCCACCAGUCUUUUGUUCAUGUGUUGAAAUAAUAUUUUUGAAAAUCAUGUUUUUAUCCAAAUUUGCAUUUUUUGCUGUUUUUGGCAUACACACUUAUUGUAUAUCAUCAGAUCUUUUUUAAAAUAUUAAAUCUAUUUGUACUGAUUUGAGAAACUAUUUCCCGGUGUAGUGAGCCACCUUAAAUGUAAACAUAAAAAGACUCCAGUCUUUGUUUACAUAACAUAGAAUGAAGGCUAAAAUAUUGCUUUUAUUCCUGCAUCCAGAAGGUUAAAAUUUUGGCUGUGAAUACAGAUUCAGUUAUACUUUUCAUGUUUAACAUUUAAAAAAAUGAGAACAAAAUUUAAAAAAAAAAAAAAAAAAAAACGUAAACGUCCUGUUUGAGAAUUUUUCACUUGUAUGGAGACGUCACCAUUGCCAGUGAAGGGCUGCAACAUUUAGGUCUAUGCUCGGUGCUUAUGCCCCUUUGAGCAGGGGUGGAUUAAUAUUGUGUCACACAUUUAGGUAAUGUCAUAUAACUGUAAACAAUGUCUCUAGAGGAUUUGGGUGUUGCUCAACCGGAAAUUUAAUAAAUGAAUGCAUAAGAUUGGAUCAUACUUCUUUUUGGACUAGAACAUCCAGGACUGAACUUUCUUAGGGUCGAGAUGUCUGUUAACCGUUUAUUCGUAUUUACCUGUCAAAGUCUUUUUGACGCUUCAGGUAUAGGAGAAAGUACUUUGACUUCAGAAUGAAUGUGAUUGUCAGAGGGAGAAUGAUGGACCGAAGCAUGCAUUUUGUAAAAUGAUUCUUGUGUUGUUAAAUCUUCGAGAAUCUUGUUGGAGAUGUCUGAUUCGGUUCACGAAACAACUUAGCAUCAUCUAGCAGUAGCAGAUUUCACCGUAAGCACUUAAUUAACACUAAUUUUAAUAUAUUGUGCCGUUACCUAUUUUCGAUAGUAUCCUAAUUUCGAUAGGUUAUUAUUUUUAACGAUCAUUCGAUAAUUGUAAUGUCAUUUUUCGGAAUGUUUUUUCCCAAAAUCAGCGUCAGUAACAAGAAGUGUCAGAUAGCCAAAAAGAUCGAGAAUUACGCUUUUCAAAGAGAUAUUUUCCAUCCAGAGAGGAAAUUAUAAGAAUGAUGAUCCAGAGGCCUUGGGCAAUGCUUUCCAGUCGGUAAAAUAUGGAAUGAGUGUCCAUGCUGAAUUGUUACUGCCAAAUGUUUCCAAGUCCCCUAGACAACUUUAAAAUAUGAUAAAUGGGCAUAAUAACAUUGGGUGUGUGUCUUCAGGACCUCCACCACUAUUUAAAAUUGUUUGAAGUUGCUUUAUUUGUUCAUUAUUUAAUGUAAUCAAUUUGGUCGAAAAAAUAAGAAUUAAAAAAUCAUUCUAUUUAA